GCCGUUUGAGUGAACAGCUUUAGCAAUGUCACAAUCAAGUAAAGGUAGCCUUAAGGAUUUUGAUUGGAAGCUCAAGUUGGCACUGGAGAGCAACAAAGUCAGUGCACUUAACUCUCCAAUCAUCGAAUUGACUCUACAUACUGAAAUUGAUUCCAUCUCGGUAGAAAUGGACUACCACAGAUUAAACAGUGUCAUACACAAGAUCAAGGAAGCUCUUUCAGAAGCUACCGAUGAAGUCACAAAUUGAAUACCUAUGUUAUUGUUCCAGUAAAUCUAAUAUGUCUCCUAAAACAUCUGUAUAAAAGUCUGGCAUCAGAAUGUGUUGUUCAUUAUGUUUGUACUGUUCAAGAUGUUUCAAACUCGUAACACCCGAUAAAACUAGAAGAGUUGUUAAUUUACAGUUUUUCCCAAAACUUAUAUCUGUAUUGCAUCUGUGAAAAAAAUCAAGCUUAUUGGUGAGGUGU